ensembl:snRNA U6 U6 spliceosomal RNA
GUGUUCGCUUCGGCAGCACAUAUACUAAAAUUGGAACGAUACAGAGAAGAUUAGCAUGGCCCCUGUGCAAGGAUGACGCACAAAUUCAUGAAGCGUUCCAUAUUUUU